rnacentral:lncRNA from 1 species
CUACUUGGGAGACUGAAGCGGGAGAAUGGCGUGACCCCGGGAGGCGGAGCUUGCAGUGAGCCGAGAUCGCGCCACUGCAGUCCAGCCUGGGCAACAGAGUGAGACUCUGUCUCAAAAAAAAAAAAAAAAAAAAAAAAAAAAUCACAUAACUGUAUGGUUGAAUAUCCAUUGUGUUCUUUACAAAGUAUGUCAUUCUUUCUGUAACAUCCGUGGUGGAAUAUAACCUUAGUAUUACACAACCACCAUCAGCAGCAGCAGCAUUUGAGAGCUUAGCAGAAAUGUAGAAUGUCGGGCUCCAUCUCGGACCUACUGAAUCAAAAUCUGCAUUUUAGCAAGAUCUCCAGGUGAUAUACAGGAUCAUUAAAGUUAGAGAAGUCCUGGUAUACAGGAUAAGUCUUACCAAUUGCUGUAUAGACCUAUGUUCACUUCAUGGAUAACAUUUGCUCUAGAAAAGAAAAAUUAACCAGUAGAGAGGGCCAGCAACUGUUCAUACCCUAGAGCUGUGAUUGGCCACCUAAUAGUGUCUAAAAUUAUGAUGCUGACAAUGACACUGCUGCUGCUGUGGAUAACACCCAUUAUCAGGUGUUUCCAAGUGUUAGCCAUUUUGUCUAAUAUGUCAACUAAUCUGUUUAACUAUCAUCUACCUCCUGAGUUUUAUGCUCUUUUACAGACAAGACAAUUGAGGCAACAGGUUGCCUAGGAUCACCACCCCCUUGUAAAUACAAGCAUUCUGAUGGCUAGCCUCAGGUAUGCCCAAGGUAGAGUCUGUGACUGGGAGCUGAACUUUUUAAAAGUAAGACAGACUAUUUGUUUCAAAUAGGAAGAAACUAUGACACUUGAAAGCUUCCUAUGAAGUUGUCAAUUGAAAUUUGUUUAGAUAAUAUUUGUAAUGAGCAAUGUGUUCUCCAAUUUGCAUAUUUGAAAAGAUAAGGAAAGCCUUCUGUUUUAAGCUCAUAUCACAUGUUCAGGCUAUCAGAUCACAAUUUAUUGUGUAUUAUGUGCCAUGUGGCAUCUUAAGCCCCAUUAGAGGCCCUUAGCCCUGGGCAUUCUACUGGCAUCUAAAGGAUGCCUUGAGAGUGAGCUGCUUUUCUGAGGACAAAUAUUUGUACAUUUGUAACAUGGGGAAAGGACUCCUUACUUGAAAUGGCUUUAGAAUUGUAGAGAACAUAGAAAUGCGGUUUGUCUCUUGUGUGCUAAAUUAAAUCCUUUUAAAGGAAGACAUCCUUUGAGAAAGGAGAUGCAGGAAUACCAACAUUUUGAUGUUUAUUGGGUGACAAAAAUCAACUCAAUCAACAAAUGGUUUUGAAAAUAACAUUGAAAUGUGAAUUGGAAGCAAAAGGUAGUGAGGUCAUGUUAUGGUGCAGAAAAACAAUGCUGUGUGUACUGCUGAUCAACUAGGUAGGCAUUAGCGGGUGGAUCAUGGCCACUAGCAUGGGAAAGGGAAGAGUUUUUAUAAAUGAACUAGAAUAGACUGCAUAUUCAAGUAGGAAUAAUGACUCUUUUUAAAAAUUAUUACAUUUGUUCCUGGUUUAAAAGGAGAGCUACAUAUAUAACAUAAAUUUAUACAACCUCAAAGGAUAUACUGUGAAGAUUAGUUUCUUCUCCUCUUCUGUCCCCAGACCCAAGUUUCCCUACUGACACAACCAGUGUGUGCAGCUCCUUGUAUAUUUUUCAGAAAUAUCCUCCAAAUACCUCAUAAAGAGUUAUGAAAUAUCUUCAUAAAUAAACAGUAUAUGCAAAAGCCUUGUUAAACAAAAGGGUAAUAUACCAGGGGCCCCUAAUCCCCUGGCCACAAACCAGAGCACAGGUCUGUAACCUGUUAGGAACCAGGCUGCACAGCAGGAAGUGUGUGGCCUGCAAGUGAGAGAAGCUUCAUCUGUAUUUACAGCCAGUCAAAAUCACUUGCAUUACAACCUGAGCUUCGCCUCCUGUCAGAUCAGUGGUGGCGUUAGAUUCUCAUAGCAGUGCGAACCCUGUUGUGAACUGUGCAUGCGAGUGAUCUGGGUUGUGCACUCCUUAUGAGAAUCUAAUGCCUGAUGAUCUGUCACUGUCCCCAUCACCCUCAGAUGGGUCCAUCUAGUUGCAGGAAAACAAGCUCAGGGCUCCCACUGAUUCUACGGAAGCUAUUUAUUACUAUUAUUAUUGUUGUUGUUAUUACUGAUUUGAGUGAGAAAGCUAGGAUAGGAAUUCACCCAAGAUGCUUGUCUUUGGAUCCCUUGCUC